CACAAGGCCCUUUUCAGGGCCACACGGUACCUCAAAGGUACCGG
rfam:Operophtera brumata OBRT01_Sc03297, whole genome shotgun sequence.